rnacentral:lncRNA from 1 species
CAUGUGGUGCUGCUGCUCCUGCUGGUGUUGCUGGUGCUGGAAGGGAGUCGGCGGGGGCAGGAGCUGGGUGGGGAGCGCGGGGAGCUGGGCGGUGGGGAGCUGCUGCUGCUGCUGUGGUGGCGCGGCGGCGUUGGCGGCGGCGAGGACGUCGGAGAGGUCCCCGGUGACGUGUCUCCGCGGCGGGGGGAGGUUGUCCAUGUCGGGCGCCGGGCGCUUGCGGACCAUGGCGGCGGCGGCGUGCUGGUGGUGAUCUAGCAGGUGGUGGUGGAGGAAGGCGGUGGAGUCGGAGGCAUGGGAAGGAGGAUAAGAAGAAGAAGAAGAUGAAGAGGGGAAGAAGAGGGAGCCCAUGUCAUGUGUGUGUGGCUAGGAGAAACGCCAAGG